GCGAAAGCGUGGGUAGCAAACAGGAUUAGAUACCCUGGUAGUCCACGCCGUAAACGCUGUCUACUUGGAGGUUGAGGUUUAAGACUUUGGCUUUCGGCGCUAACGCAUUAAGUAGACCGCCUGGGGAGUACGGCCGCAAGGUUAAAACUCAAAUGAAUUGACGGGGGCCCGCACAAGCGGUGGAGCAUGUGGUUUAAUUCGAUGCAACGCGAAGAACCUUACCUACUCUUGACAUCCAGCGAAGCCUUUAGAGAUAGAGGUGUGCCUUCGGGAGCGCUGAGACAGGUGCUGCAUGGCUGUCGUCAGCUCGUGUUGUGAAAUGUUGGGUUAAGUCCCGCAACGAGCGCAACCCUUAUCCUUGUUUGCCAGCACGUAAUGGUGGGAACUCCAGGGAGACUGCCGGUGAUAAACCUGGAGGAAGGUGGGGACGACGUCAAGUCAUCAUGGCCCUUACGAGUAGGGCUACACACGUGCUACAAUGGCAGAUACAGAGGGCAGCGAAGCUGCGAAGUGGAGCGAAUCCCUUAAAGUUUGUCGUAGUCCGGAUUGGAGUCUGCAACUCGACUCCAU
rnacentral:rRNA from 1 species